UGGGUAGACUGAUUUUUCUCACUCA
rnacentral:piRNA from 1 species